rnacentral:rRNA from 1 species
GUGCCAGCAGCCGCGGUAAUACAGAGGGUGCGAGCGUUGUUCGGAAUUACUGGGCGUAAAGCGCGCGCAGGCGGCCCUUUAAGUCUGCCGGUCAAACGCCGGGGCUCAACCCCGUGCUCGCCGGAGAUACUGGGGGGCUGGAGACAGGUAGAGGCGAGUGGAAUUCCGGGUGUAGCGGUGGAAUGCGUAGAGAUCCGGAAGAACACCGGAGGCGAAGGCGGCUCGCUGGGCCUGGUCUGACGCUGAGGCGCGAAAGCGUGGGGAGCGAACAGGAUUAGAUACCCCUGUAGUCC